rnacentral:rRNA from 1 species
GACGAACGCUGGCGGCGUGCUUAACACAUGCAAGUCGAACGGAAAGGCCCUGCUUUUGUGGGGUGCUCGAGUGGCGAACGGGUGAGUAACACGUGAGUAACCUGCCCUUGACUUUGGGAUAACUUCAGGAAACUGGGGCUAAUACCGGAUAGGAGCUCCUGCUGCAUGGUGGGGGUUGGAAAGUUUCGGCGGUUGGGGAUGGACUCGCGGCUUAUCAGCUUGUUGGUGGGGUAGUGGCUUACCAAGGCUUUGACGGGUAGCCGGCCUGAGAGGGUGACCGGCCACAUUGGGACUGAGAUACGGCACAGACUCCUACGGGAGGCAGCAGUGGGGAAUAUUGCACAAUGGGAGGAAGCAUGAUGCAGCAACGCCGCGUGCGGGAUGACGGCCUUCGGGUUGUAAACCGCUUUCGCCUGUGCCGAAGCGUGAGUGACGGUAAUGGGUAAAGAAGCACCGGCUAACUACGUG